rfam:Lepisosteus oculatus linkage group LG5, whole genome shotgun sequence.
UCCAGCAGCCAUAUCAUCCUGCAACUCACAACUGGCGACCUACUGAAGCAAAGCAGGUGUGAGCCUGGUCAGUACCUGGAUGGGAGACCUCCUGGGAAAAACUAAGGUUGCUGCUGGAA